AUUGAACGCUGGCGGCAGGCCUAACACAUGCAAGUCGAGCGGAGCGGCGGACGGGUGAGUAAUGCCUAGGCAUCUGCCUGGUCGUGGGGAUAACGUCCGGAAACGGGCACUCCUACCGCAUACUUUCAGAUGAGCCUCGGUCGGAUUAGCUAGUUGGGGGGGUAAAGGCCUACCAAGGCGACGAUCCGGAACUGGUUUGAGGGGGUGAUCAGUCACACUGGAACGGAGACACGGUCCAGACUCCUACGGGAGGCAGCAGUGGGGAAGAUUGGACAAUGGGCGAAAGCCUGAUCCAGCCAUGCCGCGUGUGUGAAGAAGGUCUUCGGAUUGUAAAGCACUUUAAGUUGGGAGGCGUUACCAACAGAAUAAGCACCGGCUAACUUCGUGCCAGCAGCCGCGGUAAUAC
rnacentral:rRNA from 1 species